UACGGGGGGGGCAAGCGUUGUUCGGAAUUACUGGGCGUAAAGGGCUCGUAGGCGGCCAACUAAGUCGGAUGUGAAAUCCCCAGGCUUAACCUGGGAAUUGCAUCCGAUACUGGAUGGCUUGAAUCCGGGAGAGGGAUGCGGAAUUCCAGGUGUAGCGGUGAAAUGCGUAGAUAUCUGGAGGAAUACCGGUGGUGUAGACGGCUCUCUGGACCGUAACUGACGCUGAGACACGAAAGCGUGGGUAGCAAACAGG
rnacentral:rRNA from 1 species